UAAAAUAUGCAUGCUUACAUUGAUCAUCACCGUGAUCUAUCGGCGUAAGGAAGAGAUCGCAUAUGAAUCUUUUUAUCGUAAUUUUUCCGGUUGAAAUGUUUUAUUUACUUACCACGACGAUCAAAAUCAUACAUAUGAAUAUUUUCUAAUUGAACGUACGCAUCUUUUCUUUUGAAAGACUAAUUUCCAGUUCCAAUCGUCUCACAAGGAUAAUGGCUUUUAAACCCAAAAAAAAAAAAAAAAGGAUAAUGGAUUGCUUUGAUAGUUUUUUUUCCGGUCGCGACUUAUGAAACUAUCAUCUAUUGUUCUAACCAAAUCUGAUUUUAUGCUAUUAUUAUAAGCAUGUAUAAUAACAUGUAAAAU
rnacentral:lncRNA from 1 species